CAGUCGAGCGAUAAGCUGAACUUCGGUUUAGUGGACAGCGGCGGACGGGUGAGUAACGCGUGGGAAUUUACCAAGGAGUGGGGAACAACUGCUGGAAACGGCAGCUAAUACCGCAUACGCCCUAAGGGGGAAAGGCUUCGGCCGCUCCAUGAAAAGCCCGCGUACGAUUAGUUUGUUGGUGGGGUAAUGGCUUACCAAGACUACGAUCGUUAGCUGGUCUGAGAGGACGAUCAGCCACACUGGGACUGAGACACGGCUCAGACUCCUACGGGAGGCAGCAGUGGGGAAUAUUGGACAAUGGGCGAAAGCCUGAUCCAGCGAUGCCGCGUGAGUGAAGAAGGCCUUAGGGUUGUAAAGCUCUUUCGGUGGGGAAGAUAAUGACGGUACCCACAAAAGAAGCCCCGGCUAACUCCGUGCCAGCAGCCGCGGUAAUACGGAGGGGGCUAGCGUUACUCGGAAUUACUGGGCGUAAAGCGAGCGUA
rnacentral:rRNA from 1 species